UGUGACUGCAAAUAUCAGCUACAUGGACCCC
rnacentral:piRNA from 1 species